UGCAGGAAGAAGGGGGGUGGUAAACGGCGGUGUGGGGGGGGAGAGAAGAAAGAACAGACCCAGAGGCACUGAGGCGCCUCGUUUCCGCGCAGUCCGCACUCCUCCUCCCACCCCUUCCUCUGCCUUUUGUCUUUUCCAAAGCAGAUCCCAGCUGAGGGCCAGAGCCGGAAGCAAAAAGCAGCCCUACGUGAAGGGGGUUCACGUCCUGAAAGCCCAGAGUAUUUGGGUUCGGCCAAAGGCCUUUUAUUGUUCCACAGGUUGGUGCAUAGAAACAGAGCACAGCUCUAUGGAAAAGCAAAGCGUCUGAACUGGAAGUGCUGACUCCUGCUGUCUUAGAUCGCGCUGCCACCAGGCACCCUGAGCUCUAGGACGCAGCCUCCCCAGGACGGCCCUCCCCAUGGCCGCCCACACUCAGGACGGUGCUGCCCCAAAGCUGGACACGCCCGUGAGAACAGCUGGGUAGCGAGUAGGCUUGCCGACCGCCAGGCCCCAGGCAGGGCCGCCCCUGGACCGUCCAUCUGUCCGUCCAUCUGUCCGUCCAGUCACACUGGAGCCCAGCUUUUGGCCUGCUGUUCUGUCCUCCCCUCAAAGGCGCAGCCCCAGCCCCGCUGUCCUGGACUUUGGGGACCAGCACGUAUUUAAUCUGAUGAAAAGGACAUUGACAAAUGCCACCAUCUCCCAGCCCACGUCUUACAGAGCAAACAUGUUCACAGCAGUAAGUGGGGGGGGGCACGCGGUCUUAGGACAAAGGACGCUGCCUUUAAGGAGCACAAGUUUAAACUCAGCUUCCUGGAAAAGCGGGUGCGGUACACUGCCCAGGAGCCCCGGCGAGCGAGGGGCGGCAGCUGUCCGGCUCCAGACCUGCGGCCAGCACGUCCCUCCCCCGCCCCUCCCUCGUCCUCUGAGUCCUCUGCUCUGUCCUUCUCACUGCCGUCAGGAGUGGACGAGUUGCCGAAUGUCCAGCGUGUGAUGGAAGAUCUGCACCUGCGCUCCGAUCCACCGGGCAAAGGAAGGCGGGACUGCAUGCGUCCCACCAGAAGGACCCUCUCCUUUCUUCCCACAGGCCUUGCCCCGGGUGGGGACCCCGGAGGACCAGAGCCCCGGCACCACCCCCAACCUGCUGUGGAAGGUGAGGGAACCCACAGCCAAGACACACGAUCCCCCACUGGGAGCCAACAGACAGACCACAGACCCCGCCGAGACUCUGCAGACUGAGCAGCCCGUACCGGGACCUCAAGGACAGACCAGCCCCCACCAGGACCCCAGGGAGACACCAGGAUCCCCACGGGGACCCCACAGACAGACCUGGGAUACCACCGGUACCCCACAGACAGGUCACCUGGACGCCUCCCCUCCUUGGAGGGGCUGCACACUAACCCCCUGUUGUGCUGAGCUGUGUUUCCCCAGAUUCAUGUGUUGAAACUCUGACCCCUAGAACCUCGGAAUGUGGCUGUUUGGAGAUGGGGCCUUUACAGAGGGGAUUAAGGUAAAACGAGGCCAAUGAGGUGAGCUCUGAUCCAAUCUGACUGGUGCCCCUAUAAGAAGAGGAGAUCAGGACGCAGACCCCGGGAGGACAUGUGGAGACAGCCCUCUUCACUCAGAGGAGAGCGGCCUCCCAAGAGCCCUGGUCGCAGACUUGCAGCCUCCAGGACUGGGCGGAAAUCAACUUCUAUUGUAUGAGCUCCGUGUCUGUGGGACUUUGUUACGGCAGCCCCAGGCCAACUGCACACCCGGCGCUCGCUCUGCACCCACCACCCCAAGAGAGGCCAUGAGAUGCCGCAGGAUCCCCCCUGCUUGGUGUCCUUGAGGGCAUCCCCCAGAGUCGGGACUUGCAGAUGCUUCUAAUUGUGUGAUGGCGACCAGACGGCCUAGCCCUGAGCUCUUCUACAACAAGUGAGAGCCAGCUGCCCAUACUCUGGCCCCUCCAGCGAUACGUGCUUUUGCUUUUUCAUUUUUGCCAGUGUGACGCAUCCCCGGCAACAUCUCACCUCUGAAGAAGCCGGGGGCCCUCCCCAGGCCUCCUCUGGCAGGUGCACGGCCCCUGCUGCCCAGGGUUCUCUGAGGCCUCCUGGGAGGUCACCCUUGGGGCAGUGACCCAUACUGAGGUGGGGUAGAUUGGCCUGCUCCCUGCUCCCUGAGGCCGUCUCCCGAGACCCCUCUCCACACGCCUCUCACACAAGGAGCCCGUCCCAGGCUCUGCUCCCUGGACACUGACCCGGUGUCCGUGAUUCUCGCUUCCCUGACGCCAGCGAAUCUGGACGUUCCCAAGUCUAACAGCUCCUGGAUUUGCUCAGUGGAUCGCCCACUCACAGCCUUCACCCAUUUUUCCACAGAGUUUCUUGUCUUUUUCUUGACAGUUUAUAAGUUCUUAAUAUAAUAUUUAUUUUAACCAUGUGUCAUAUGCAUUAAAAUAUUUUCUCAAAUUGA